UUACUCUUACGUACUCCGAGAUGACACAAGGAGAAAGCUACGCGGUUUGGGGUCAAAUGAUGUCUUUAUUCUGCUCGAUGAGAGGCUUACAGGUUGUGCAAAGACAUCAACGGCCAAGCCGAGCGUAGUGAGGUGGCCCCAAACCGCGUAGCGGAAAUUUGUGGAGAAUAGUAUUGUUAUUGUAGUAAAGUAGAGAGUUACUCAGUAUGUAAAAUUACAGUUCAGCUUUCAAAGAAACAGUCCAGGACUUGUGAAGAUCUGCCUGCAGAACGCCGCUGGGCACUGUUGAACAGCGUAGACUCGGGCCGGAAACAGGUGCGUCCGCGCGGUGAGUCUAACUUAGUACUGCGAAGUGAGGGGUCCUGAGGGUCUUCAGCGCACCGCUGGAGCUGGUCUCCUUGUGUUGUCGAUUGUGAAGGAACGCAGAGUCAGGGGUGCAGGCCCGAGCUGGUGAAGAUCGCACUGCAGAACUCCGCCUGGCACUUGCGAGCAGUAGAACUAGAGGCUAGCCCGAGAGCGGAUGCAACGGCGCGUAGCUCUAGCUGGAGUGCUGCGAAGUGGGGGGUCCCGAGGGUCUUCAGCAUGCUGCUGUAGGUGCACACCAACUUCCUACUGUCUGGGUCCCUGUAGGUACGGGCGGGAAGGGGAAAGACUGAGGGGUAAGGAGGUGUCGUUCGAGAUGUUUACGAAGUUGCCGCCGGUAGGAACAUGGCUGCCGAAAUCACGGAC